rnacentral:lncRNA from 1 species
UUUGGUUUUAAGAGAACUAAGUACAGAGUGUAGAAUACUCACAAAUAUCAGCUGAGUGACCCUGCUGAUUUGAAUGUGAAACCAGGAGUGUAAAAAUUUUAAAAUUAUUUUAUGUAUGGGUGUUUUGCCUGCAUGUAUGUUUGUACACUGGUUGUAAGUUUAUAUGUUCUGGGAAUUGAAGCCAGUCUUCUGGAAGAGAAGCCAGUGCUCUUAACUACCUACCAAACCAUCUUUCUACCACCUCCCACCCCCCCCAGGAAUAUGGAUUUUUGUGUGAAAUAUUUUAAUGCUUAAAACCCGGAUGUUAAUCUGUCUUAAAAUGCUGGUUAAACCGAUGAGCCAAAGAAUUAAAAGACACCUUUAGGUAAUGCCAUCUCCUAACCAUCCCCUUUGAAAUGAAUACAACUGUGGUAUUCACAGCAGGUAAAAACAUCAUUUGCCUUAGAAAGUACAACUACACCAGCAGAGGUAGCUGGUACUUGUAAUCUCAGCACUUGGGAGGUUCAGGCAGGAAGAGGAUUGUAGACAAAGUGUUGUCCAAGAAAAGGCCAGUCCUGUUCUGUAUGCCACAGUUCAGUUCCACUCAAGGGCCAGAUGCUUUCCUGGGCGGAUGAUGGGAAAUGGAUGUCUCCAAACAAAGACUGGGCCUUUAAACUGGUUAAAAAUGGAGACGUUUCAAUUGUGGGGGCUUCUGUGUGUGUUGCUUUUGAAGACUGUGUGCUUGUGAAGCUAAGCAAGGGAUAUGUAUGUGUGAGUUUAUUACACUUGUUUAAGGGUCAGAAAAGAAGACUGGGAAGCAGGUGGACUCUUCCCCCUGAAACACAGGACAAUAGUUUCUGUUUGUUUGGUUGGUUUUGGUUUUUGUGCUGGGAUUAAAGGCGUGUGCCACCACCGUCUGGCUAGGACAAUAGUUUUAAUUUUCAGAUUUUCUCAUAAUCCUGGUUAAUUUUUUAGAUUUCUUUAAUUUUGCUUUAUUUUUUUAAAACACCUGGGCUAACUCUGGGGGAGGAUGAGAGGUGCUAGAAAUUGAACCCAGGAUAUGAUGGGCCAGCACUCUACUGAGCUGUAACCUCCAGCGCUUUUAAUGUUUCUAGCAUGGCUUUCCCUCCCCAGCCCUUUCCAGACUGGAGAUUAGGCCAGUGCUCUUGCUCUUGCUGCUGAGUCCUUAACACUACAGUUCUACUUUAGAGAAUUGUAUGAACAUUUUAGUGUACAUUGCUUUAUUUUUAUCUUGAGCUCAUUAGUUACGAUGAAGAAAGUUUUGUUCUUUUCAUUUGUGAGCAGACUUAAAGUUCAAUGGUUUAUCCUUGGGUAAUCAUGCUCAGGUUCCUAGCAACAAGAAGUCAAUUUUUGCUAUAUCUCAUUUCCUGUUUAAAGGGUCAUCUGCACUUAAUUUCCCUUCAGACAUUGUUUGUUUCAAAUGUGAAAGAAAAUUUGAAGGUGAAAUUGUCAGUGCAGACACUUGAUACGCAUGCGUCAGGUGUAGGGCUCAGCAGUUAGGAGCGUUUGCUGCUCUUCAGAAUUCCUGAAAUCAGUUUCCAGUACCCUGGUCAGUGGCUCAUUCUGGGCUUCAGAACAUUUAUGGUAACUUUGUAUUAGUUCCUCCUUGGGGUUGUUUGUUGACAGAUUAACAGAUUGCAUCUCUUAGUGGUUAAUAGAGGCAGACUUAGAGAUCCUGAAGAUGCCUGGCACUUAUGGACAUUGAACAGAUUCUGUAGACAUUACCUCAUCUGCAGAGAUUUUUCCAAGUGAGAAAAAUGAGUCAAAUAAGUUACAUUUUCUGGCACUCUGGUUUUGGAUGGCUGUUACCAUCUUACUCCCUUUGAGUUGAAAGGCUGCCUGGAGGAGGUGGCAUUUUGGGAGCUGUGAAGAGACAGGAAGGAAGAUGAUGCAUAGUCAUUGGGUUAAACGUAGAAAAGUGGGAAGGAGAAGUGAGAUGGUUUGAGAACUACUUGUAUUUAAUGAAGAUGAUGAUGGUAGUGUCCCUCAGACAGGGCUAACAUAAUAACUUGACAGCCAUAACAACUUGUCACAUCCUCUUUAUUGUGACGCCAAGACUAGUAAGCCAGUUAAGAUCAUCUGAAUAGUUUAACAUAUGUUGUGUUCAAGUUGGUAUGAGGGAAGCUAUAAGUAAACAAGGGUCCAGGCCUAAGGAACUCACAGACCACUUGGUAGACCACUCUCUAUAUUCACCACUAUUACAUAAGGUAUGAAAAUUUACCUUCAAGCUAGAUGUGGUGGUUUGAAUAAGAAUGGCCCCCAUUGCUGGGCAGUGGUGGCUCAUGCCUUUAAUCCCAGCACUUGGGAGGCAGAGGCAGGGGGAUUUCUGAGUUCAAGGCCAGCUUGGUCUAUAGCUUUGGUCUCAAACCAAAAGAAAAGAAAAGAAAAG